CAUGAAGCCGGAAUUGCUAGUAAUGGCAGGUCAGCAUACUGCCGUGAAUACGUUCCCGGGCCUUGUACACACCGCCCGUCACACCAUGAGAGUUGGGAAUACCCGAAGCCUGUGAGCCAACUGUAAAGAGGCAGCAGUCGAAGGUAGAAUCAAUGAUUGGGGUAAAGAAGUCGUAACAAGGUAGC
rnacentral:rRNA from 1 species